rnacentral:tRNA from 1 species
UGCCGGAUCGACUAAUGGCAGGUCGUAGUGCUCUGAACACUAAGAUGUGUGUUCGAAUCCUACUCUGGCAA